GUGCACCAGGCGCGAAACCUCCGCAAUACACGAAAGUGUGACGGGGCCAUCCCGAGUGCCGUCCGCUGAGGACGGCUUUUCCCCAGUGUACACAGCUGGGGGAACAAGGAGAGGGCAAGCCUGGUGUCAGCCGCCGCGGUAAUACCAGCUCUCCGAGUGGUGGGGACGCUUAUUGGGCCUAAAGCAUCCGUAGCCGGCUGGGCAAGUCCUCCGUUAAAUCCAACGAUUCAAUCGUUGGGCUGCGGGGGAUACUGUCCAGCUUGGGGGCGGGAGAGGCCGACGGUAUUCCCGGGGUAGGGGUGAAAUCCUAUAAUCCCGGGAGGACCACCAGUGGCGAAGGCUGUCGGCUAGAACGCGCCCGACGGUGAGGGAUGAAAGCUGGGGGGAGCGAACCGGAUUAGAUACCCCUGUAGU
rnacentral:rRNA from 1 species